rnacentral:lncRNA from 1 species
GACCAACUUUUAUUAUCGUAGAGACUGGCACAAGCUUCUAGUGCAAACAAUCACAUUGUCACUGUGAAAUGCAUCAUUUGUCAUUAAGGAGCAUUGGUAAUGUAAUUGUUAGGGAGCUACCUUUAAAAAAAAAAAAGCAAACCAGGUGGAAGUGAAUUACUUAAAACCAGAACACCUGCUCAUGACUUAAGUCUUAAUUGUGAUCAAUUGUUUCCACCUGUAGGUGUUGAUGGCUUCACUCAGAAACUUUUUUUUUCCCCCCACUCUGUCUGCUCUUCACAGAGGAAGUUUAAUCAUUUUUCUGGAUUUCCUUUUGCCUUCUCUUUGUAAAAAAUGCCUUGUGCUCUUCGGUGGUUCCAAGAAACUUCUUCAAAGGUGAGUGGCGUCUGAGGAAGUUGGUGUUGGUGGUGGAGGAGCUGGUUCCAGGGCGCGUCGUACCCUGCGGCUGGAGGAGAGGAUGUGUUGGGCAAGCAUGAAGCUUCAGGAGAAAAGUGGCUCCAGCAGAGACAGAGAGGGCAAGCACUCCCGUUCCUGACCCUGCGUGAGGCUGUGCCCGACCCUUCUGGGUGAGCAGCUGGUGGGGAAUGGCCUUCAAAAUGCACCACUUGUCUAACAGCAUGGAAAGUAAACUGUCACCUGCCAAUCCCUAUACCAUGGAAUACACCUCUUGGAAUUUACUUCAUCAAAUUUCUGUCUUAGGACUGAGUAUGGCAGGAAGCAAAAGGUAAAUUGGCUUUUUUUUUUUUUUUAAACUUCAACUCUACUUGCACAGCUCUACCCUCAUACAUAAUGUAUUCCUAAAAAUGUAUGCAGGUUUGAGCUGGCUGAACAUGGUCCCCUGGGUUAGAAUCAGUGCUACUUACAAGCUCGUGACGUGCCGGGUUGGUCCCCCCGUGCAGAAGGUCUGCGAAUGGAUUUCCCCCAGCCUUGCAGAGGCUUCGUUCUUGUCAAAGCGUCUGCCCUGCAGGCCUGGGCAGCUGGGGAGCCUUGACCCUUUUCUGAGCCAGGCUCUCAGACAGCGUGAAAGAGCCCAGAAUAUGAAAACUGCCUCUCAAGANNNNNNNNNNAACCGGAGCUUCCCUUGGCCAGCAGCCCUGCUCCAGGCUCAGCAAAGUUUUCUCUUUUUGCGAGAACAAAAGCUGGAGCGAGCCUGGAGCAGUCCCUUCAGACUGGCAGCGUGCACAGAGCAGGCAACAGAUGCUGGUGUUUUUUGUAAACCCAAAACCUAAUUAUGCUCAGAGCAGUCCCACAGGUCUGGGAGGGAAAAAAAAAGAAAUAACAACAAUUUGUGGAUUCCAGUUAUCAUGGCUGGGUUUUAAAGCAGCAGAACGUUUUUUUGGUGAUGCUCCCUCUCUGUGGCCUGAGGAAAGCAGGCAGGUUGGGUGCAGUGAUGGGCAGUGGGAGCUGAGCUCACCCUGGGGGCAUGGAGCCAGCGAUGGGGCUGAGAGGUCAGGGGGGAACCAGGCAGCCUGGGUGAGGGCAGGUGAGGCUGCUGCUGGGGUGCUUUUAGGGAACUCUGUCAGAUUAGAGUGUCAAAUUCCAGUGUGAAUCUGCACAGCUUAUUAUUUUUGUUGUUUCUGAGUGGGUAGGUCUUGUUUUUGUCUGUCUUGCACAGGCUUCGUUCUUGUCAAAGCGUCUGCCCUGCAGGCCUGGGCAGCUGGGGAGCCUUGACCCUUUUCUGAGCCAGGCUCUCAGACAGCGUGAAAGAGCCCAGAAUAUGAAAACUGCCUCUCAAGAAAAACAUAAAUUAUGAAGUGAAAAAACAUUGCUUUCUGCCAGGAUAUGGUUUGUGUACCCCCAAAGCAGAAGGAAAAACUCCAUGGAGGAAAAGUGAGGCACUUCCCAGAGCCCUGAAGGGCCUGGUGGAGCUCCCAGUUCAACUGGAUGAACAGCCCAGGGCAGGUUUUGCACAACAGCUUUUGUCUCUCUGCAAAUCUUCUUUCAGACACAGAAGGCUGGUGAUAGCUUCCGUGUGUGAAUCAAAACCUAAAAGGUUUUUAUGCUGCACGCUCUGCUUAUGCGUGAUGGAGGGGCAAUGUUACAGCCUGAAGAAGAGAUUGCUCUGAAUUGUGCUUGCACAACACCCUAGCAAUAACUGGGAAGUAAACCAGUUCCUGAAAGCCACUGGGGUCCUCUUGCAGAAACAUAUUCCCUGGAGGGCUCAGAAAGGUGGGAGAGGAGGCAGGGACAGGGGCAGCAGAGAGAGGACGGCAGCUUGCAGAGGGGUGAGCUCUGCCUGGAGUCCAUCAAAGCGCUGUGCUGAUUGAGAAUCUGCUCGUUAGGCACUUAUUUGUCCUGGGAGGUGUGCUAGGUUCAGCCCUGGCACAGCUCAAGGAAAGCAAAUGCUGAGACAACAGUUGGACAAAGCUGGAUCAGUCUUUUUAGUACCCUGGCAUGAUUUGUUGCAGCUGAGUCCUUCCAGCAAAUCCUUAAGAUUUUCAGCAGCUAUAAGCUUUUUAUAGCAAAUCAGAUUUUUGCACCCAUCUGGUUGACUGGUUAUAAACAUACAUCUCUCAAGUUGGCUUGUUAGGUUUUGUCAGUAUUAAAAAGGAAACCCACAAUGUGCAGCGGUGUAUUCAUCUGUAGCUGCUUUUGAUGACUUAUGCCUCUUGCAAAUGAACACAAAUAACCAAGAAAAGUGGUUUGCUUAUGAAAUCCUGAAGAAAAAAGCCUAAAACCCAGCGAAGCAACAGGUUGGCUUGUUGAAAACACCCAGGCAAGCUGACCAUGGUAGCUACUGAGAGUUGAGCACGACUGUUGGAUGUUGUUGGCAUUUUUGCUGGAUUAAAUGAUCACAUCUAGAAAGGGUCUGAAGUGUUUUUGCUGUUAAGAUUCUAGCAGCAAAGCUGAAAAAGGGUCACAGCAGCUUUAGACCUCACUGCUGCUUCAAGAUGUAGCCCAGGACAAACUUACAGCUAAGUCCUGCUGCGUUCCUUAAAACCAAAUAUUUCUUCGGUUUAAGGUGUGGAAAGGAUACAUCUGCAUUUCUGCAGUGUAGUGGACAUGAGGAAGGAGCUGGGUUGGGUUUGUUGUGGCCUGGUUAGCCUGCCUGAUGAAGUGCCAGCGAUGGUUGGUAGUGACCUCUCCUCUAGCAUGUGCACGGCUUCAGAGUAUUUGAUUUAGGGAAUCUCUGAUGCUUCAAUUUAUUUUACGACCCCAGUGGGCAGUGGAAUCAAUGGGGUGAGUGCUUCAAGUGGAAACCUCUGCCCACUGCCAAAGGGGACAUGGGGGACUUCACGUGUUGGGGCCAGGCAGCGUGGGGCUCCCGGCUGGCAGCUGGCUUUGAGGUUCAUCCCCUGUGGGAUGUGCAGGGCCCCAGAGCUGUCUGCAGUGUGCAAGGUGUGAUUUUGGCAAGGGGAGUGCUCUUCGUGGAGCAGCCGACUCUUUCCGCAGCGCCUUUCAGGCAGAUCUGCAGUUCUGAGCUUUUUAUAGCAAGUCAAAUUUCUUCACCCAUCUGCUUGUCUGCUUAUGAAAAUGCAUCCCUCUGGUGCACUUGUUACAUUUCAUUACUGUUAAGUAAAAUAAAAAGUCAACACACCUUGCCUACCAGUUUAUUCAUCUGCAUCUGCUUUUGAUGGAGUGCAUCUCCUAUAAGGAGGCGCACAGAUGCUCUGGAUGUGCUCAUCGCCCCCUGCCACAGCUUUCAGGUCCCUAAUAAUGAAAUCAACUUUGUUAAUGACAAGUGUAAAGGUAACAUGCAGCAAACUGAAUGGCCGCACUGGGUAGCUUUCCAGGCGGAUGUAUGCUGGAUAUGCGAUGCAGAUGCUGUCUUUCAUGAACAAUUAAAUUUCCCUUGAUUACACCCUCCUGAGAAGGACAAGUAGAAAAAGAGGCAGUAUUGUUAAUGGGGAGCUUUAGCUCUGAUUGCUUAAGUGCCUUCACGAAGAUAAGAUUCAGUAAAAAGUCAGUUAACACAUGUGAAUGGAAAUGUUAGAAGUUUGCUUAGGCCUCAGACAUUGCAUUUAUCAGAGACUUCUGGUGCCAUGGCCAUGGUCUGUGCUCCCUCUGCAUCUCUGCUGGUCCUGGUCUCACUGGGGAAUGACAACACACAGCUCUGGUCUCCAGGGAUGGCCACGUUAGCUUGCUCUAAUUUUGUCUCAUUGUCUGCAAGGUCUUAAAAAUUAAGAACGCUGCGCAUGUUUUAUUGCACAGAAUAUAAACAGUCAGCCCUCAGUGGGAAAGUUAAUUAAAAUGGCCAAUGCAUCAUAUUCCCAAUCAUCUGAGUACUGCUUGGUGCUCCCUGAGCCCUGACAUGUGCCCUCAGGACGUGCUGCCCAAAUCCAGCUUGUGCAGACCCAGAUGCGCAGGCAGCCAGGCUCAUGAGAUGCUCUGAGGUUCAUCGUAUGCUAAAAUACAAGAGCUGUUUGUUGUAAAGACAAAAACGUCCAAUUCUAGCCCAAUGCUACACUUCAGACUAAGACACAGCUAAUGAAAUCGUGCCUCAGAUUAAAUACUAAUUUUCUUCCUUUCCUCCUGCCUUUCUCUUCCACCGUGUCUAACUGCAAGUUUCCAGGUCCACCUGCUUGGGGUUAAAAGGGUUCACUCUGUUCUUCUUUCUCUAUCUUUCCAUCAUCUUAACGCUUUUUUGUUGUUGUUGUUUCCUUCCAUUUGCUGGCAUUUCCUUAGCUGGUCGAUGGCUAAAGUGGAUUGUUAAGAACCAAUUUUACAGCUUAUACGAAGGCGCUAAUAUCCACUGACACUUGCUUCAAAUCGCACUUUAGGUGGCCGUGUUCUGCCUCCUUUCACUUCCUUGUCAUUUUGCUUGGGAACAGUGUCAGCCCUGUCCUGAGCUGGCCAGCA